GAUGGACGCUGGCGGCGUGCCUAAUACAUGCAAGUCGAGCGAACGGACGAGAAGCUUGCUUCUCUGAUGUUAGCGGCGGACGGGUGAGUAACACGUGGAUAACCUACCUAUAAGACUGGGAUAACUUCGGGAAACCGGAGCUAAUACCGGAUAAUAUUUUGAACCGCAUGGUUCAAAAGUGAAAGACGGUCUUGCUGUCACUUAUAGAUGGAUCCGCGCUGCAUUAGCUAGUUGGUAAGGUAACGGCUUACCAAGGCAACGAUGCAUAGCCGACCUGAGAGGGUGAUCGGCCACACUGGAACUGAGACACGGUCCAGACUCCUACGGGGGGCAGCAGUAGGGAAUCUUCCGCAAUGGGCGAAAGCCUGACGGAGCAACGCCGCGUGAGUGAUGAAGGUCUUCGGAUCGUAAAACUCUGUUAUUAGGGAAGAACAUAUGUGUAAGUAACUGUGCACAUCUUGACGGUACCUAAUCAGAAAGCCACGGCUAACUACGUG
rnacentral:rRNA from 1 species